rnacentral:rRNA from 1 species
AUACGUAGGGGGCGAGCGUUAUCCGGAAUUAUUGGGCGUAAAGAGUACGUAGGUGGUUUCCUAAGCGAGGGGUUUAAGGCACUGGCUUAACCAAUGUUCGCCCCCCGAACUGGGGAACUUGAGUGCUGGAGAGGAAAGCGGAAUUCCUAGUGUAGCGGGGAAAUGCGUAGAUAUUAGGAGGAACACCAGUGGCGAAGGCGGCUUUCUGGACAGUAACUGACACUGAGGUACGAAAGUGUGGGGAGCAAACAGGAUUAGAUACCCUGGUAGUCCACACCGUAAACGAUGAGCACUAGGUGUCGGGCUCGCAAGAGUUCGGUGCCGCAGUUAACGCAUUAAGUGCUCCGCCUGGGGAGUACGUACGCAAGUAUGAAACUCAAAUGAAUUGACGGGG